UUGAUCACUCUUCUCCCACGUACUCGAUCACUCUUCCAGGCCAAGACGUCUAUAAAUAGGGAGGGCCAAGCUUCAAGAACUUCACUCAGAAAUCAAUCACCUCUUGCAUACCUUCCUACAAACUCUAAGCAAUCAAGAGAGAUCGAGAUGGCAUUCUCAAAGACUUUUCUUCUUGUCGCCCUUGCCUUUGCUGUUCUCCUCAUCUCUGCUGAGGUCUCGGCUCAUCGUGACCUAGCUGAGGCUACCACUACUACUCAAAAAGCCAACACUGACGGUUACCAAGGAAACGAUCAUAGACGUCGCUGCUAUGGACAUGGAGGACAUCACUGCUAUGGAGGCGGAGGACAUGGACCUCAUGCUGUUGAGACUGAAACUGAGAACUAGAUGAUGAUGACCCUUUGUAUGCAUGCAGUUGUGUGUAUAUUGCACUAUUGCAGGCGUACGUACCUGAUGCAAGGCUAUUAAUAUGGAAGCAGUAGUAGCUUGUUUCGAAUAAUAAUAUGUAUUGGUUGAGCAGUCCAUCAAACUCUCAAUCGAUCAUAUCUUUGUAAUAUGAUCCUCGUAUCUUCAUGUUAUGAACAAUCUAUGUUCCACUUAAA